AUGGACCACUGGAUCAAUGGCCAGGCUGUCUCCGACGUCGCCCCUUCCCUCCUCUCCCUCGUGCCACGACACCUGUGGAAGCGCACUGUGGCGGAGGCGCUCCACAACCACAGCUGGAUCGCCGACUACGUGCACCUGUGGAGAACACUACGGCCUAUCGACCUCUCCAGCCUACCCGACCGUCUGAUGUGAAGAUGGACCGCGAAUGCCAAGUAUUCGGCCAAGUGCUACCUGGCCCUAUACGCUGGCUCCACUGCGGCCCCAUUCUGGCAGUUGACGUGGAAAUGUUGGGCCCUCCCAUGAAUCAAGAUCUUCACAUGGCUCGCCGACCUCGACCGUUGCUGGACCGCCGACAGGCUUGCUCGGCGCGGGCUACCACACAACGACCGCUGCGUCCUUUGUGACCAGGCAAUGGAGACCAUGCAACACAUCAUCACCGGUUGCCCUUUCUCUUGGCAAAUAUGGCACGAUGUACUCGCUUGGGUGCGCGCUGCCUCCCCCUCCGACCGGAGACGAAGACUUCUACCCUGGUGCACGGCGACCAUCGUCGGAUCCCCUCCCGGCCUUCGCAAGGGCCUAGCCACGUUAGCUACGCUCACAGCUUGGUGCAUCUGGAAACACCGCAACCGUUGUGUGUUCAACGGCGACUCCCCCUCCGCCUCGAGGCUGCUUGCGGCUAUUCAGGACGAGGCUAGGACCUGGGAUCGAGCUGGUGCUCGCGGACUAAAUCUAUUACUUUUAAGAUCGUUGGGCUAA
rnacentral:rRNA from 1 species